rnacentral:snRNA from 1 species
GUCCUUAUGCUAGGGUUAGAGCUUCUGACAGUGAGGAGAAAUCCGAGUCGAAGCAAUUGCUGGUUGCAAAAAACAAAUCCUACAGUUGUAUUGCGUCGUAAGACCGGUACACAAUUUCUGGAAAAUUGACUUUGAU